CGGGGUGUUGCCCAGUGGUAGGGCGCCUGUUUUGGGUACAGGAGAUCGCUGGUUCGAUUCCAGUCACCCCGA
rnacentral:tRNA from 1 species